UUAUUUGAUAGUACCUUACUACAUGGAUACCUGUGGUAAUUCUAGAGCUAAUACAUGCUAAAAACCCCGACUUCAGGAAGGGGUGUAUUUAUUAGAUAAAAAACCAACGCCCUUCGGGGCUCCUUGGUGAAUCAUAAUAACUUAACGAAUCGCAUGGCCUUGCGCCGGCGAUGGUUCAUUCAAAUUUCUGCCCUAUCAACUUUCGAUGGUAGGAUAGUGGCCUACCAUGGUGGCAACGGGUAACGGGGAAUUAGGGUUCGAUUCCGGAGAGGGAGCCUGAGAAACGGCUACCACAUCCAAGGAAGGCAGCAGGCGCGCAAAUUACCCAAUCCCGAUACGGGGAGGUAGUGACAAUAAAUACUGAUACGGGGCUCUUUUGGGUCUCGUAAUUGGAAUGAGAACAAUUUAAAUCCCUUAACGAGGAACAAUUGGAGGGCAAGUCUGGUGCCAGCAGCCGCGGUAAUUCCAGCUCCAAUAGCGUAUAUUAAAGUUGUUGCAGUUAAAAAGCUCGUAGUUGAACCUUGGGUCUGGCUGGUCGGUCCGCCUCACCGCGAGUACUGAUCCGGCUGGACCUUUCCUUCUGGGGAACCUCAUGGCCUUCACUGGCUGUGGGGGGAACCAGGACUUUUACUGUGAAAAAAUUAGAGUGUUCAAAGCAGGCCUUUGCUCGAAUACAUUAGCAUGGAAUAAUAGAAUAGGACGUGCGGUUCUAUUUUGUUGGUUUCUAGGACCGCCGUAAUGAUUAAUAGGGAUAGUCGGGGGCGUCAGUAUUCAGCUGUCAGAGGUGAAAUUCUUGGAUUUGCUGAAGACUAACUACUGCGAAAGCAUUCGCCAAGGAUGUUUUCAUUAAUCAGGGAACGAAAGUUAGGGGAUCGAAGACGAUCAGAUACCGUCGUAGUCUUAACCAUAAACUAUGCCGACUAGGGAUCGGACGGGAUUCUAUAAUGACCCGUUCGGCACCUUAC
rnacentral:rRNA from 1 species